GGCUAGCUCAGUCGGUAGAGCAUGAGAUUCUUCAUCUCAGGGUCGUGGGUUUGAGCCCUUUGUUGGCCG
rfam:Danio rerio chromosome 4, GRCz11 reference primary assembly.